rnacentral:rRNA from 1 species
CCCAGACAGCCAGGAUGUUGGCUUAGAAGCAGCCAUCAUUUAAAGAAAGCGUAAUAGCUCACUGGUCGAGUCGGCCUGCGCGGAAGAUGUAACGGGGCUAAACCAUGCACCGAAGCUGCGGCAGCGACACUAGGUGUUGUUGGGUAGGGGAGCGUUCUGUAAGCCUGUGAAGGUGUGCUGUGAGGCAUGCUGGAGGUAUCAGAAGUGCGAAUGCUGACAUAAGUAACGAUAAAGCGGGUGAAAAGCCCGCUCGCCGGAAGACCAAGGGUUCCUGUCCAACGUUAAUCGGGGCAGGGUGAGUCGACCCCUAAGGCGAGGCCGAAAGGCGUAGUCGAUGGGAAACGGGUUAAUAUUCCCGUACUUGGUGUUACUGCGAAGGGGGGACGGAGAAGGCUAUGUUGGCCGGGCGACGGUUGUCCCGGUUUAAGCGUGUAGGUGUGUGUUCCAGGUAAAUCCGGUUCACUUUAACACUGAGGCGUGACGACGAGGCACUACGGUGCUGAAGCAACAAAUGCCCUGCUUCCAGGAAAAGCCUCUAAGCAUCAGGUAACAUCAAAUCGUACCCCAAACCGACACAGGUGGUCAGGUAGAGAAUACCAAGGCGCUUGAGAGAACUCGGGUGAAGGAACUAGGCAAAAUGGUGCCGUAACUUCGGGAGAAGGCACGCUGACACGUAGGUGAAGUGAUUUACUCAUGGAGCUGAAGUCAGUCGAAGAUACCAGCUGGCUGCAACUGUUUAUUAAAAACACAGCACUGUGCAAACACGAAAGUGGACGUAUACGGUGUGACGCCUGCCCGGU